GACGAACGCUGGCGGCGUGCCUAAUACAUGCAAGUAGAACGCUGAAGGAGGAGCUUACUUCUCUGGAUGAGUUGCGAACGGGUGAGUAACGCGUAGGUAACCUGCCUGGUAGCGGGGGAUAACUAUUGGAAGCGAUAGCUAAUACCGCAUAAGAGUAGAUGUUGCAUGACAUUUACUUAAAAGGUGCAAUUGCACCACUACCAGAUGGACCUGCGUUGUAUUAGCUAGUUGGUGGGGUAACGGCUUACCAAGGCGACGAUACAUAGCCGACCUGAGAGGGGGAUCGGCCACACUGAGACUGAGACACGGCCCAGACUCCUACGGGAGGCAGCAGUAGGGAAGCUUCGGCAAUGGACGGAAGUCUGACCUAGCAACGCCGCGUGGGUGAAGAAGGUUUUCGGAUCGUAAAGCUCUGUUGUAAGAGAAGAACGAGUGUGAGAGUGGAAAGUUCACACUGUGACGGUAUCUUACCAGAAAGGGACGGCUAACUACGUGCCAGCCGCCGCCGUAA
rnacentral:rRNA from 1 species